ACCCUAUAUAUUAUUUUUAAUUCUCUGUAGAAUAUAUUAUUGCUUCUUCCACACGAAAAGGAACAGGAUGUGGUUAGAUUACAUGUGGAAACAUUGUUUUAGGCGUUUUCCAUCAGAU